CUAAUACUCCUUCCGUUCUAAAUUAUUUGUCGCAUGUAUGGAUGUAUCUAGAUGUAUUUUAGUUCUAGAUACAUCCAUUUCUGCAACGAGUAAUUUGAAACGGAGCGAGUAUAAG
rnacentral:pre_miRNA from 1 species